UACCAGCACCCCCGAGUGGUCGGGACGUUUAUUGGGCCUAAAGCAUCCGUAGCCGGUUCUACAAGUCUUCCGUUAAAUCCAACUGCUUAACAGGUGGGCUGCGGAAGAUACUAUAGAGCUAGGAGGCGGGAGAGGCAAGCGGUACUCGAUGGGUAGGGGUAAAAUCCGUUGAUCCAUUGAAGACCACCAGUGGCGAAGGCGGCUGCCAGAACGCGCUCGACGGUGAGGGAUGAAAGCUGGGGGAGCAAAGCCGG
rnacentral:rRNA from 1 species